rnacentral:rRNA from 1 species
AUGGUCGUCCAACUUCUUCANNNNNNNNNNNNNNNNNNNNNNNNNNNNUCAAUCUCACUCUUGCGUAAUCUGCAGCUAGUACAGAGAAGUUCGAUCCCUUCCUUGCUGGUCAGAAGUUUUAAAUUCAUGAUGGAGCCAGAUCUGAUUUUUGGUGAAGUAGUAGAUAAGAACAGAGCAUUUGAAGACGCUGAUGAAGAUGCUGUCAUCUUUGAGGAAAUUAGGGAUUCUUCGGAUGAUCAACAAGUAGAGCAUAUCAUGAUGUUGCAGCCUAAGAAGGGGAUGACGUUCGAUAGUGAGGAUGCUGCUGUUAGCUUCUACAAAGAUUAUGCCAAAAAAGAGGGCUUUGGUGUAAUAAGAAGAACCACUAGACAUGGAGAAGAUAGCAAGCUUGUUUAUUUUACUCUUGCUUGUAACAGGCAAGGGAAGGCUCAAUAUUCAUCCAAGAACUCAUUUAAACCUAAUCCAUCAACGAGGAUGCAAUGCCCAGCUAAGAUUAACUUCUCUCGUCAUGAGGAGAAGUUCCGCAUUACAUCUAUUACGCUUGACCACAAUCAUCCUAUAAGUCCAAGUAAAGCCAGAUUUCUGAGAUGUCACAAGAAACUGAACUUGCAUGCCAAGAGAAGGCUGGAAUUGAAUGAUCAAGCAGGAAUCCGUCUGAAUAAAAAAAUUGGUUCUCUUGUUAUGGAAGCUGGUGGGUAUGGUAAUCUUGAGUUCGGUGAAAAGGAGUGCAGGAACUAUUUGCAAGAGACAAGAAGGCUGAAACUUGGUGCCGGAGAUGCACAUGCUGUCUACCAAUAUUUUCUUCGGAUGCAAUCAAAAGAUCCUGACUUUUUCCAUCUUAUGGAUGUGGAUAAGGAUGGGAGACUGAGAAAUGUCUUUUGGGCAGAUGCAAGAAGUAGGGCAACAUAUGAAUCUUAUUGUGAUGUCAUCACAUUUGACACUACAUACUUAACAAACAAGUAUAGCAUGCCAUUUGCUCCCUUUGUUGGCGUAAAUCAUCAUGGAGAAUCAGUUCUGUUAGGUUGUGGCCUUCUAUCCAACGAAGACACCGGCACUUUUGCGUGGUUAUUUAAAUCUUGGCUAUGUUGUAUGUCAAACAAACCACCAAAUGUUAUAAUCACUGACCAGUGCAAAGCAAUGCAGAAUGCUAUUGAAGAAGUUUUUCCUCAAGCUCGUCACAGAUGGUGGAUAUGGCAUAUCAUGAAGAAGAUUCCUGAAAAGCUUAGUGGGUAUGAUAAGUAUGAGAAUAUUAAAUAUACCUUGUCAAAUGUGGUGUACGAUUCCUUGACAAAAUGUGAUUUUGACAAAGCUUGGGUGGAGAUGAUCAAUAAAUAUGAUCUUCACGAAAAUGAAUGGCUUGCCGGAUUAUAUGAUGAAAAAAAUCGGUGGGUACCAGCAUAUGUAAAAGAUACUUUUUGGGCAGGGAUGUCUUCAACACAAAGGAGUGAGAGUGUGAAUGCCUUCUUUGAUGGGUAUGUUCACGCUAGAACAACUCUAAAGCAAUUUGUGGAGCAGUAUGAAAAUGCAUUAAGAGACAAGGUAGAGAAAGAAACCAAGGCUGAUUCUAAGUCGUUCCAAGAGGAAAUUCCAUGCAUUACUCAUUUUGACUUCGAGAAGCAAUUUCAAGUAGCAUAUACCAAUGCAAAGUUUCAAGAGUUUCAAGAGAAAUUAAGAGGGAAAAUCUAUUGCUAUCCAUCUCUGCUAAACAAUGAAGGGCCACUUCUUACAUUUAGAAUUAGAGAGGACCGUAAGAUUUUUUUUUAA